rnacentral:rRNA from 1 species
CCUACGGGAGGCAGCAGUGAGGAAUAUUGGUCACUGGCCGUAAGGCUGAACCAGCCAAGUCGCGUGAAGGAAGAAGGAUCUAUGGUUUGUAAACUUCUUUUAUAGGGGAAUAAAGGUAUCCACGUGUGGAUAUUUGCAUGUACCCUAUGAAUAAGCAUCGGCUAACUCCGUGCCAGCAGCCGCGGUAAUACGGAGGAUGCGAGCGUUAUCCGGAUUUAUUGGGUUUAAAGGGUGCGUAGGUUGUUUUUUAAGUCAGCGGUGAAAGUUUGUGGCUCAACCAUAAAAUUGCCGUUGAAACUGGAAGACGUGAGUGUGUUUGAGGUAGGCGGAAUGCGUGGUGUAGCGGUGAAAUGCAUAGAUAUCACGCAGAACUCCGAUUGCGAAGGCAGCUUACUAAGCCAUAACUGACACUGAAGCACGAAAGCGUGGGGAUCAAACAGGAUUAGAUACCCCAGUAGUC